rnacentral:rRNA from 1 species
CCUACGGGUGGCUGCAGUGAGGAAUAUUGGUCAAUGGGCGCGAGCCUGAACCAGCCAAGUAGCGUGAAGGAUGACUGCCCUACGGGUUGUAAACUUCUUUUAUACAGGAAUAAAGUGAGGCACGUGUGCCUUUUUGCAUGUACUUUAUGAAUAAGGAUCGGCUAACUCCGUGCCAGCAGCCGCGGUAAUACGGAGGAUCCGGGCGUUAUCCGGAUUUAUUGGGUUUAAAGGGAGCGUAGGUGGGUUGUUAAGUCAGUUGUGAAAGGUUGCGGCUCAACCGUAAAAUGGCAAUGGGUACUGGGAGCCUUGAGUACAGUGGAGGUAGGCGGAAUUCGUGGUGUAGCGGUGAAAUGCUUAGAUAUCACGAAGAACUCCGAUUGCGAAGGCAGCCUACUAAAGUGUCACUGACAUUGAUGCUCGAAAGUGCGGGUAUCAAACAGGAUUAGAUACCCGAGUAGUC